GAUAGCUCAGUCGGUAGAGCAGGGGAUUGAAAAUCCCCGUGUCCUUGGUUCGAUUCCGAGUC
rnacentral:tRNA from 3 species